ACGACCUUACUUGAACAGGAUCUGUUCUAUAGGCUCGUACUUCUGUAUCCUUGAGUUCUAAGGAGACAGGAACCUAAGUCUGGUUGAUGAACCAUGGCUGUGCGAUCAGAGCGUGAGUGACAGCGUUGUGGCCUUAGGGCCAUUAAUGCAGUAGAGGAUCGUUCUCAGCCCAUGAUUGUGGCUGGGAUGGUCGCACCGCUGUCUGACAGACU